rnacentral:lncRNA from 1 species
CAUAUCUUUUGGCAUGGGGCACACACAGGCCUAGUUGGAUGUAUGAUCUGCAGGUUUGCUGCUCAUUGAGUUGACAGAUUUGACUAAUACAGUCAUUUGUUUCAAUUUUAGGAAAGGUCAUUGCGUUGGACACUUGAACCAGUUCCUCACUGCAGUACCCAGUCUUCAUCUUCAGUACCCUAGCUGGAGAAGAGCACACAGGCUGCAGGCUAGAGCUCUCCCAGUCGUUCAGGAACAGUGUGUCCUCAGACAUGUGAGCUCCUGAAGCUUAUGGGUGUGUCCAUCAUCCAGUGAAGUAAUUGAAUACUCUCCACCCAAGCUGCUAGACAUUCUGAAGAUUACACAUGGAGGUAAGACC